rnacentral:ncRNA from 1 species
AUAAAAACUUUGAAAAGAAGAGUAGCUAAUAAAUUAUAUGCACAGAGAAUCUUUGUAGGCUGAAAAAAGAUCUUAUAAUCUUAGUGAAUAAAGACUUAGAGUUGUACCGAGGAUAUUUUGAUUCGGUAUCGUAUUUUGCACGUUAUAGCAAAGGGGUAUAAUUUUGUACUUUCUUAUUGGAUCCUUUGAAAGUAUAUUUUGUACUUAAUAAGGAUAUUUUUGUGAAAAAAUAUUAAAUUUGGGUGGUAACACGGUCUUCGUCCCUUGG